GAGACUCUGUGCGCGUGCAUAUCAAUAAGCGGAGGAAAAGAAACUAACAAGGAUUCCCUUAGUAACGGCGAGUGAAGCGGGAAGAGCUCAAAUUUGAAAUCUUCAAGGUUCUACCUUGACGAAUUGUAGUUUAUAGAAGUGUUUUCUGUUAGUAGAGUGGCAAAAGUUCUUUGGAAUAGGACAUCAUAGAGGGUGAGAAUCCCGUAUUUGGUCAUUCUUUCUAGCUUUGUGAUACACUUUCAACGAGUCGGAUUGUUUGGGAAUGCAGUCCAAAAUGGGUGGUAAAUUUCAUCUAAAGCUAAAUAUUGGCGAGAGACCGAUAGCGAACAAGUACCGUGAGGGAAAGAUGAAAAGAACUUUGAAAAGAGAGUUAAACAGUACGUGAAAUUGUCAAAAGGGAAGCGUUUGACACCAGUGUUGUUUUUCCGAAAAUCAAUUACGAAUGUUUUAUUUUUGAGGAGUUAUGACUUCAUCGGCUUGCUCCUUUCUUUACGAAACUUUCUUAAUGCACUUUUCGGUUAACAAGUCAACAUCAAUUUCUUUUGUUGUAAAAGGGUAUGAGGAAGGUGGCUUUCUUUUCGGAGAAAGUGUUUAUAGCCUUGUGCCUCUGCAAUCGGAGAGAUUGAGGUCUGCAGCGUAGAUCCUUCGGGGUUAGAUACGUUUGUGCUAAGUUAUAGCUUUUCAUAGACAACUUGUUGACUAUGUUUAGUCUUGUAGCUUACUCGCUUAUGCUAUUUUACCUACGCUUAGGAUGUUGAAGAUGUAGCACAUCAU
rnacentral:rRNA from 1 species